CCUACGGGGGGCUGCAGUGGGGAAUAUUGGACAAUGGGGGCAACCCUGAUCCAGCCAUGCCGCGUGUGUGAAGAAGGCCCUCGGGUUGUAAAGCACUUUCAGUGAGGAAGAACGCCUGGUGGUUAAUACCCAUCAGGAAAGACAUCACUCACAGAAGAAGCACCAGCUAACUCCGUGCCAGCAGCCGCGGUAAUACGGAGGGUGCGAGCGUUAAUCGGAAUUACUGGGCGUAAAGCGCGCGUAGGUGGCUUGAUAAGCCGGUUGUGAAAGCCCCGGGCUCAACCUGGGAACGGCAUCCGGAACUGUCAAGCUAGAGUGCAGGAGAGGAAGGUAGAAUUCCCGGUGUAGCGGUGAAAUGCGUAGAGAUCGGGAGGAAUACCAGUGGCGAAGGCGGCCUUCUGGACUGACACUGACACUGAGGUGCGAAAGCGUGGGUAGCAAACAGGAUUAGAUACCCGGGUAGUC
rnacentral:rRNA from 1 species